CAUUUUAGCACGGAGAUGUGUUUGGAGCGGAACAGAAAUUUUUGGAGUCUCGACGGUCUAAGGAGUCAAAUUCCACCGCAGAUUGGCGAGAUUUGAUCGACAGAGGCCUGAUAGCAGUAGCACAAAAUGACUUCCAAACCGCAUUCGGAUUCUUCGACAAUGCAUUGAAAUUGGAACAAACACCGAACACUAUGUUGCUCAACAAUAUGGGUGUUUGCAAACUGUAUUCCGGUAAGCUGAAAGAUGCAAUUGCAUUGUUUGAACGUGCCGUGAUAUCGAAUCCGCAGAAAGGCUUGAACGAAAGCCUUCUGUUGAAUUUGUCAACGCUGUACGAAUUGGAGUCGAGCAAUGAUGUGAUCAAGAAAUUGGCACUGUUGAAGCAGAUAAAUCGACACAAGAACGAUUUGAACAUCAAUUUGGAGUAUUGUCUUAAACUGCAAACGGGAAAUAAAGUUUAUUAGGAAAUUGAAAA